rnacentral:rRNA from 1 species
AACCGAACGGGAAGGUGGGGAUGACGUCAAGUCAUCAUGGCCCUUACGGCCUGGGCUACACACGUGCUACAAUGGUCGGUACAAAGGGUUGCCAAGCCGCGAGGUGGAGCUAAUCCCAUAAAACCGAUCGUAGUCCGGAUCGCAGUCUGCAACUCGACUGCGUGAAGUCGGAAUCGCUAGUAAUCGUGAAUCAGAAUGUCACGGUGAAUACGUUCCCGGGCCUU